AGGUCGGCGACGGACGUGUGCCUCGCCAACCCGGUCAGGUCCGGAAGGAAGCAGCCGCAGUGAGUUUCCACGCGGGUCGUUUGCCGGCCUCCC
rfam:Rhodospirillales bacterium 69-11 SCNpilot_cont_750_bf_scaffold_280, whole genome shotgun sequence.